AUUGAACGCUGGCGGCAUGCCUUACACAUGCAAGUCGAACGGCAGCACGGGUGCUUGCACCUGGUGGCGAGUGGCGAACGGGUGAGUAAUACAUCGGAACAUGUCCUGUAGUGGGGGAUAGCCCGGCGAAAGCCGGAUUAAUACCGCAUACGAUCUACGGAUUAAAGCGGGGGACCUUCGGGCCUCGCGCUAUAGGGUUGGCCGAUGGCUGAUUGGCUGGUUGGUGGGGUAAAGGCCUACCAAGGCGACGAUCAGUAGCUGGUCUGAGAGGACGACCAGCCACACUGGAACUGAGCCACGGCCCAGACUCCUACGGGAGGCCGCAGUGGGGAAUUUUGGACAAUGGGCGAAAGCCUGAUCCAGCAAUGCCGAGUGUGUGAAGAAGGCCUUCGGGUUGUAAAGCACUUUUGUCCGGAAAGAAAUCCUUGGCCCUAAUACGGUCGGGGGAUGACGGUACCGGAAGAAUAAGCACCGGCUAACUACGUG
rnacentral:rRNA from 1 species